GGGCGCGUAGAUCAGUCUGGUAGAUCGCGUCUCUGGCAGGGAUGAGGCCUCGGGUUCAAAUCCCGACGCGUCCA
rnacentral:tRNA from 1 species